UGUCGACAUUAUAGUUGCACAUUGGUGACUCUAGAGAACCUCGGGCCAAUCGCACGUCCCCGUGACGGCGACUUUGCAUUCGGAUGUCUGCCCUAUCAACUUUCGAUGCCACUUUCUGCGCCUACCAUGGUGACCACGGGUAAUGGCCAGGGUUUGAUUCCGGAGAGGGAGUCUGAGAAACGGCUACUACAUCCAAGGAAGGCAGCAGGCACUCAAAUUACCCACUUCCGACGCGGGGAGGUAAUGACGACA